AUGGCUUACACGCGUAUGGUGCGAACGUAGACGUGGCUAACGCAGGUCAGUGUUGUAUCUGUUCUUAUCAGCCUAAUGUCUCAUACGGGUUGUAUUUAAACCCAUGAUGUUAAACUUAAUUUUGCAAGCUGGCGGAUCCUCCGCCGCGGGUCGGCCCGGUACUGCACUAUUUUCGGCUUAGGCCCACGUUCU